GACGAACGCUGGCGGCGCGCUUAACACAUGCCAGUCGAACGGAAAGGCCUGCUUUCCCUUGUGGAUUGCGGGUACUCGAGUGGCGAACGGGUGAGUAACACGUGAGUGAUCUGCCCCCAACUUGGGUAUAAGCCUGGGAAACUGGGUCUAAUUCCCGAUAGGACUGCAGGGUGGUGCCUGUGGUGGAAAACGAUUUUCUAGUGGUUGGGGAUGAGCUCGCGGCCUAUCAGCUUGUUGGUGGGGUAAUGGCCUACCAAGGCGGCGACGGGUAGCCGGCCUGGGAGGUGGGCCGGCCCAUUUGGGCUGGGAUUCCGGCCCGGCCCCCUCCGGGGGGCGGAGGUGGGGAUGAUUGCCCAAGGGGGGGAGGCUGGUGGAGGCACCGCCGCGUGGGGGAGGCGGGCCUUCGGGUUGUAACUCCUUUCGACCGCGAGGAAGCCACCUGGUUGGAAGGGUGGUGACGGUAGUGGUAGAAGAAGCACCGGCUAACUACGUG
rnacentral:rRNA from 1 species